GGGGGCGUACCGGUUUCGACGGGGAUCGUUGUGGGAGAGGCUGCAAGCCGAGGCGCACGUUACCUCGUUAAUCCGCGUGCACUGCAAAAGUAACUGCAGACAACAAUCUUGCUCUCGCUGCCUAAGCUUAGCUUAGGUUAGCGACGUCCGCCGCAACGCUGCCUGCGCGUUGCGGGUCGGGCGUCAUCCUGCAGGCUCGUUGGGAUGCGUGGCCCGCGCACCCCGACUAAAAAUAGGGCUGGUCAGCACGGCGCGCCCGCCAAACGGCGUGCUUAUUGUUGGCGAGACACGAGGUCACGGCUGUAAGGCGGCUCGCCGCCUUAAAAGCAGGAACUCUUAAAUGGUUUGGCUAAGCUUGUAGAUGCGGCUCUGGCAAGUUCUUCGGACGUGGGUUCGACUCCCACCGCCUCCACCA
rnacentral:tmRNA from 1 species